CCUACGGGAGGCAGCAGUGAGGAAUAUUGGUCAAUGGCCGGAAGGCUGAACCAGCCAUGCCGCGUGAAGGUCAGUGCCCUAUGGGCGUUAAACUUCUUUUGUGCGGGAGCAAUAAUGGUCACGUGUGGCCAGACGAGAGUACCGUACGAAUAAGCAUCGGCUAACUCCGUGCCAGCAGUCGCGGUAAUACGGGGGAUGCAAGCGUUGUCCGGAUGUAUUGGGUGUAAAGGGUGCGUAGGCUGUGAGGUAAGUCAGCGGUGAAAUGCCCCCGCUCAACGGGGUGAAGUGCCAUUGAUACUGCCUUGCUUGAGUGCUGAUGCGGUGGGAGGAAGGUGUGGUGUAGCGGUGAAAUGCAUAGAUAUCACACAGAACACCGAUUGCGAAGGCAGCUCACGAAUCCGCGAUUGACGCUGAUGCACGAAAGCGUGGGUAUCAAACAGGAUUAGAUACCCCUGUAGUC
rnacentral:rRNA from 1 species